AACCCGACUGGGGGAUGGCUCGGCUCGAGAGCCGAAGAAGGUCGUGACAAGCUGCGAUAAGUCGCGGGGAGAGGCAUGAAUCUCUUGGAUCCGCGAAUAGCUGAAUUGGACCUCCUGACAUUAGUGUCAUUCCUCUAUGAGGAAAGGGAACCCCCCGAACUGAAGCAUCUCAGUAGGGGGAGGAAAAGAAAUCAAAUGAGAUUCCGUUAGUAGUGGCGAAUGAAAACGGAAUAGGACAAACCGAAUCUCCUUGGGAAACCUUGGAGAGAUGUGGGGUAUGGAUCAUCUGUAGUCUAAGUGUAGGAAGUAGAAGUCGCCUGGAACGGCGCACCACAGAGGGUGAAAGUCCCGUAUACGUACUAUAUAUGACCAAGUGAUGAAUCCAGAGUAGCGUGCGUUGGAUAUCGCGCGUGAAUAUGGGAGGCAGAUACUUCCAAUCCUGAAUACUACUCGAGACCGAUAGUAGACAAGUAGCGUGAGCGAAAGCUGAAAAGUAUCCUUAGCGGGAUGUGAAAAGACCCUGAAACCAGUCGGGAACAAGCUGAAUAGGCGUAAAAGCGAAGAUAUGAGCAGCGUCUAUUCUUGCGUUUCGAAUAAUGCCCCUGGGAGUUCUGAUCAUUGGCGAGGUUAAGCAGUUAAUCUGCGAAGCCGGAGGGAAACCGAAAGGUCCGCAGCCGCAUUAGCGGUGAGGGACUGGGUGUGCUCGCCCGGAGUCAAUGGUGGGAGACCUGAAGCCUGUCGAUCUAUGCCUGGCCAGAUUGAAGCCCGAUGAAAGUUGGGUGGAGGAUCAAACAGUUGCUGAUGUGCAAAUCGCUCUGACGAGCUUGGUAUAGGGGUGAAAGUCCAAUCGAGAUAGGCAAUAGCAGGUUCCGCGCGAGACUACUCGUAGGUAGAUCUCUGCAGAGGUAGUGUGCGAUGUAGAGCACUGAUUGGGUAUUUAGGGGGAGCAAUUCCUCGGUACGCUGUCAAACUCCGAAGUUGUGCACGCCGUAGAAGCAGGGAGUGAGCCACGGUGGGUAAGCUACCGUGACGAAAGGUGAAGAAACCAGCUCAGCGUUAAGGUCCCAAAAUUUCAGUUAAGUGUUAAUCACAAACGGCGUCCGUGGUCGAAGACAACCAGAAGGUGGGCUUAGAAGCAGCCAUCCUUGAAAGAGUUCGUAACAGAUCACUGGUCAAGCUUGCGGGCCCGAAAAAUGGACGGGACUCAAACUGAAUACCGAUACGCUGAUCCUUCGUAAGAAGAUGAGGUAGCGCGGCGAUAUGGUCGGGUAGAAGCUAGGUUUUAAGAUCUAGUGGACCGUCUAUAUAUGAGAAUCUAGGGAAGAGUAGCAGCAUAGUGCGGUGAGAAUCCGCACCACCGAAGGGGUAAGGGUUCCUCGGCAAUGUUUUUCAGCCGAGGGUUAGCCGAUCCUAAGGGCUUUCUUAAUCGAAGAGUCCGAAAGGGAAAUGCGUUAAUAUUCGUAUGCCCUUCUACAUUAAUGGUGACGGCUUGGGCUAGUUCGUACGUCUCUGUCAUGGGACGUCGAAGCGUAAUAAUCAAUUGGAGAACCGUCAUGGUGAGAAGAUUGAGAAGACGUGAGCAACGACGAAUGAGGCCUAGGUCCCAUGAAAAGCCGUAGAAGUGAUCGUACCAAGAACUGACACAGGUACCCAAGGUGAGUAGCCUAAGGUGUGACGGGCAAAGUAUCGUGAAGGAACUCGGCAAAAUAGCUCUGUAACUUCGGGAGAAGGAGUGCCAGCUUAGAGAUAAGCUGGUCGCAGUGACCAGGGGACUCCGACUGUUUAAUAAAAACAUAGGCGACUGCUAGAUCGAAAGAUUGUGUAUAGUCGCUGAAUCCUGCUCAGUGCCGGUAU
rnacentral:rRNA from 1 species